rnacentral:rRNA from 1 species
GAUAAACGCUAGCGGCAGGCCUAACACAUGCAAGUCGAGCGGCAUCACGAGGUAGCAAUACUUUGGUGGCGAGCGGCGGAAGGGUGCGUAACGCGUGAGCAACAUGCCCGUGGCAGGGGGAUAAGCGAUGGAAACGUCGUCUAAGACCCCGUAACAACAGAGUUCGCAUGGAUUUUGUUUGAAAGCUUCGGCGGCCACGGAUUGGCUCGCGUCCCAUUAGGCAGUUGGCGGGGUAACGGCCCACCAAACCGACGAUGGGUAGGGGUUCUGAGAGGAAGGUCCCCCACAAUGGAACUGAGACACGGUCCAUACUCC